rnacentral:SRP_RNA from 1 species
UAAGUCUGCGGCGAGUAAUAUUAUGAAUUCCGACAGGUCUGGAAAGAAGCAUCGGUAAUAAUUAAUUCGGGUGUAUGAACAAAAUA